UACGAAGGGGGCUAGCGUUGCUCGGAAUUACUGGGCGUAAAGGGCGCGUAGGCGGAUCUCUAAGUCGGGGGUGAAAGCCCAGGGCUCAACCCUGGAAUUGCCUUCGAUACUGGAUAUCUUGAGUACGGGAGAGGUGAGUGGAACUCCGAGUGUAGAGGUGAAAUUCGUAGAUAUUCGCAAGAACACCAGUGGCGAAGGCGGCUCACUGGCCCGAUACUGACGCUGAGGCACGAAAGCGUGGGGAGCAAACAGG
rnacentral:rRNA from 1 species